GAUAAAAAAAUACUUCAGAGAAAAACGUAACAAAUCGUACGUUACGAUAAGCAUUUGCCAGCAUGUCAAGUCCGCACGUGCGGCUGGAUUCGCGCCAAGUGUGCCUGCGUAUUUUACUACCUCGUCUGUACGUCGUGCGCUCCUAAUAAAUUAGUAUUAUCAAUUUCCUCGACUAAACUCAAACUGCUUGAUGUAAACAACCGACUGAAUAUAAAAAAUAUAAAGUACUGGCCAGUCAUAGUUAUGGAAAUUAUCGCAAGCUUAAUUCGCUUCGUGUAACUAUCGAUAAGAGAGAAAAUAUAAUGUAACCAGCAAAACAAAUCCAAAUAACAUAGAAAUACUUUCAAAUGUGAGAGGUGAUAGUCAAGUAAGAAAUCAAGUAAGAAUAGUUAUGUGAAUUCUUUUAUUUCUACUAUUUCUUACUGUAAAUUUAAAAACUUAUUUUAUCUUAUCUUAUAAGAUGCAUUCUAUAUAAAAAUAAAUGUUAUAGUUAAUAUUGAUUAAGGAUUAAAAUAAUAAACAAAAAAUUCAAUAUGAUUUGUAAUGUAAAAAGAAUAGAUUAUAUCAUAGCUAAAAAUAAUUAUUUAUUGCAAAAUAAAAUCGAAAAUACAAAUCAAUUUAAGUUAUAAAAGAUAAUCUAUAAAUUAAAAUUAAUAUCAUCCUAUAUAAUUAUAAAUAUUGUUUUCUUAUUCGUGGUUAUUUAAUUUACAAACUAAAUGUCACUAAUAACAUCAGUCGUUAAGGCAAAUUUAAAGAUAUCGCGAAAUAAAAAAUUCCACGGCAAACGAAACUGGAGUCAGAAUCACGUGAUGAAUACGUGAAUAGAAGACAAGUUUGUCGAUGCGUACACUACCUUUUCUACUGCACUCAUUGUCAGUGGCACGUGCUGCUACUAUUAAAAACCAUCAACAAUUGUAUGGUCGUUUCUCAAGUUUUUAUCGCAGACAAACAUUUUCAAAAGAGGCAGUGCUAAUUGGAUGAAGUUUUAUAGAAAUAUAAAAAAUCCUCACUAAUUAGGAUUGUAAGAAAAAAAUAUUGAAUUUUAUACAAUAUAUGUCUGUUAUCCUAGUUAUCUAUAAUUGAAGAAACUUCGUUAAUAAUUAAUAGUAUGUAUUUUUAAUAAAAUUAGUCAUUAUCUCGUUUAGAUGUUUAGAUUUACUUAUAUGAAAUUGAAUUGAAUUUCCUAUCAACAAUUUGGCGGGCGUUGUGACCGAUUCAAGAAAAGUGUAUAUGUUACACAACUGCAUCGCCAUCACGUGACUGGUUGCAGUGUAAUGACGUUAUCGGCACUGUCAAAACGCCAAUGGCAGAGAUUCAGCUUCCAUCGUGCGAUCACGCAAGCGUCUGUUAACCGAGGUUAUGCACCGUUCCGUACUGCGUUGGAUUUAAUUUUAAUCAAACCAUGGUAUGAAAUCAGGAAAACUGCCAGAAGUAACUGUAUACUUUGUAACAGAAACAAAACUAUAUUUCUGUGGCUAAAUAUAAACUUCGUUUCAGCUGUUACACAUGCCAUUCCGAGUUGGCUAAUAAAUGUUCCGUGAUGCAUUUUCGUAAAAUGUAAUUUUUAUGCUCAUGUAAUGAUCUUAUAAAAAAAUUUAAUUAUAAAAUAAUAUCUUAACAAAGAACAUAAUAUGUUAACAAAAACAGAUUCUCAAGUAUAAUCCUUGACAAUUUCCUAAAAAUAUCAUAUCAAUAAAUAUCUUUCCAACACUAA